GUGCUGGAUUAGAUUUUCAAGUAAACUGCUUUGGAAGAUGAUAGUGUCUCCCUCUAUAGCAUGAGCAGGUUUGUUUGCUCUUAAACAUGAUAAUAGCUUCUGCUGGGGCAAAGGGCAGAUGUGAAACCUGGAACUACUGUAACCGCUUUGCCAAUGAAUGAAAACAGCCUUUGAAGAUGCCAAGACAUAGAAAAGGGAAUGUUAGAGAAAUGGAGCUGCAGCUUCUGGAUUAAGCCAACCCUGAUGCUCACCUAUCUCUGGAAUCACCGUUUAUGGCUAUGAAGUACCUCCUGCUCAUGAGAAAAAUGAGAUGGUAAGUUUGCCACUGACUAAAGAUUAGACUGGUAAGAACUGACUUUCCAUCCAGGACACAAUUUUCCUUUAGAGUUGGCCAUAAAACUUUCAUUCCAGAGGUGCCCACCCUACACCUGGAGGAUAGGAGCAUUCUUAUCUCUGAAGACCCGGGGACACAGAAUGCACCUGAACAAGCAGGCCUUGCCAGGUUUCCCCCAGUUUAUUACCAUUAGAUCAUACCCUUGGUCUUCCGGCCACACUUCUGCAUGACUGUCCAUAAAAAUGCACAGUUGUCUCUGUUUCUUUGGGUCUUCAUUUCUGAAGGCUCCCAUGUCACAUAAAACAUAUUAAAUAAAUGUGUAUGUUUUUCUCUUAAAAAAAAAAAGAAUUGGCUUUCAAUGUAUAAAAUAGUGACUGUCUCUGUGUUUUAUAAUCAAAAGUGGGUGGCUUCUGGACCUCAAGCUGAAUAUUUUCAUCUGACUCAAUGGCUGAAAGAUGUGACCAGGUAGACCUGAGACUUUAUGACCAGGUAGACUUGAAACUACUAGUUUGAUUAUUUUCCUAUUGUAAGCAGCUGAUGGAAAAGCUUCUAGAGUUAUUCCAAGGAGUAGACCUAGAAGGCAUCCAAAGUAAUGAUGCAUGAGCACUGGUGACUAAGAAGGAAAAAUGACAUGAAGCACCUAAAUUCUGCCUGGAAGGAAUAUCAUAACUCAAUAUACAUUAUUCUUCAAGCCUAGGCACUUCUGAAAUUCUGUAGAAUAAUCUUUGAACUGCCUGUGCACUGGAAAAAAACUGGUCUGAAAAACUGCUUGGGAUGUGAUCUGAGAUAAUUUUUUUUUAACUGACAAAAUGAGGUUGAUUCCUUCCCUAUCACUACCCAACUGAUAAAAAGGAAACCCACAGUGAAUUUUACAGUUGAAAGAUGUCUCUUAUGCAUCAAACCAAACUUAACAAAAGUUUUAUAAAAUUACCAUAUUCACUUAUGUUUUCCACUUAAUAUUUUUGACACAGUCUCACUCUGUUGCCUAGCCUGGAAUGCAGUCGUGUAAUCAUAGCUCACUGCAGUCUCCAUCUCCCAGGCUCAAGUGAUCCUCCUGCUUCAGCCUCUGAGUAGCUGGGAGUACAGGAGCACAUCACUAUGCCCAGAUGAUUUUUUUAAAUUUUAUUUUUCGUACAGACAGGGUCUCACCAUGUUGCCCAGACUGGUCUCGAACUCCUGAGCUCAAGUGAUUCUCCUGUUUUGGCCUUCCAAAGUGCUGGGAUUACAGAUGUAAGGCACCAUGGCCAACCUCCACUUGAUAUUGUUUUAAUGUAGUGGUAGAAAAGGUAGCAAGGCUUACAUAAGAGUUCUUUUCUUGCUUUACUCUUGACAACCUUUCUUCAUCUUUGAGAAUCUCAAUCCUACCUCCCACCUCAAGCUAAAAACAGAGUUUAGUUGAAACUUUUUGCAGGGUAAUUUGGUUUAGCUAGCACAAUUUAAAAAAUUUGCAUGUCAUUUGACCCUGUAAUUUCACUUCUGGAAUUUACUGUACAGAAAUACCUGGACGAAUGCUCCAUAAAAUAAGCACAAAGAUUUUACUGCAACACUGUUUGCAGUAAAUAUUGUUUGUAUUUUUUGACCAAAAAACCCCUAAAUGUCCAUCAAGAAGAAAUUAAAUUAUGAAAUAAAUGAACUGACAGUUAUUAAUCUGUUUAAAAAUGAGUUAAAUCUCUAGGUACUGACAUAUUAUGAUAAAAUAAAGCGAAUAAGCAAUGUACAGAAGAGUAUCGGGUAAGCCCAUUUCUGUGAGAAAAAUUUACAUAUGUACAUGUGUACCUAUGUAUUUUAGCAUUUAUAAACUCUCUCUCUUUCUCUCUCUCUCUCUCUCUCUCUCUCAUUUGUAACAAGGAAGAUCUGGAAGUAUAUCGAGGGGACUAUCUUUGGGAGUUUUGGAGAAGUACAGGAAAGACAAUGUUCACAUUUUAUACUUCUGUAUUAACAUUAGGUGUUUUUACAACCAGACUAUGUUAUUUUACUUUUUCGUUUAAAUUUUUUUAAAAUUAAAUAAAACUAACAGGCAUGGAAAUCUCCUACUUUGAUCCUUCGUACAGCAAUUUUUGUUUCUUAAAGUGUCACGUGGAGUGAAAGAUCACAGAGACAAUGAGGCUCCCCAGGUGCAAGCAUUUUUUAAAGUAAGGACAUAUUGAGGAUGAUCCACUAGUGUCGAUAAACACUUUAUACUUGCAAGUUUGAGCUCAAGCACCAUUAAUUCAGGAGAAGAAGGCCAGGCAGCUGCAUCAAUAUCAGCUUGGCUGGUUUUACAUGCAAGGGCCCCAACAUCUAUAGCCCCUACACAACCAGAAAAGAAGACAAUGUGGGACACAGAAGAAUGAGACUUCAAUGAGAAGGGCACUGACUUAUUUUCUCCCCUCUUCCCAAUAAAUGGCAAGUUGUCUCUGUUUCUUCUUUAAUUUAUCCUUUUAUUUGAUGACUUAGACCUGCAUUGUCCAAUCAGUACAUGUGGCUACUGAGCACUUGAAAUGUGCUGAAAAAAGUCUGAACUGAGAUGUGCUGUAAGUGUAAAAUACACAUUGGAGUUUGAACAGUUAGUAAAAAGAAAGAAUGUAAAAAUAUCUCAUUCAUCCAUAUAUUUAUAUUCAUUACAUGUUGAAAUGAUAACAUU
ensembl:lncRNA novel transcript, antisense to CDK6